UACGUAGGGUGCGAGCGUUAAUCGGAAUUACUGGGCGUAAAGCGUGCGCAGGCGGUGAUGUAAGACAGUUGUGAAAUCCCCGGGCUCAACCUGGGAACUGCAUCUGUGACUGCAUUGCUGGAGGGCGGCAGAGGGGGAUGGAAUUCCGCGUGUAGCAGUGAAAUGCGUAGAUAUGCGGAGGAACACCGAUGGCGAAGGCAAUCCCCUGGGCCUGCACUGACGCUCAUGCACGAAAGCGUGGGGAGCAAACAGG
rnacentral:rRNA from 1 species